rnacentral:rRNA from 1 species
UGUCAUGAGAUGUCGUUAAUCCGGCAACGAGCGCAACCCACACUCUUAGUUGCCAUCAUUUGGUUGGGCACUCUAGGAGAACUGCCGGUGAUAAGCCGGAGGAAGGUGUGGAUGACGUCAAGUCCUCAUGGCCCUUACGGGUUGGGCUACACACGUGCUACAAUGGUGGUGACAAUGGGUUAAUCCCAAAAAGCCAUCUCAGUUCGGAUUGGGGUCUGCAACUCGACCCCAUGAAGUCGGAAUCGCUAGUAAUCGCGUAACAGCAUGACGCGGUGAAUACGUUCCCGGGCCUU